rnacentral:rRNA from 1 species
AAACUUUCAACAACGGAUCUCUUGGUUCUGGCAUCGAUGAAGAACGCAGCGAAAUGCGAUAAGUAAUGUGAAUUGCAGAAUUCAGUGAAUCAUCGAAUCUUUGAACGCACAUUGCGCCCCCUGGUAUUCCGGGGGGCAUGCCUGUUCGAGCGUCAUCA